rnacentral:piRNA from 1 species
UGCCACUUGUUGAGGUUGUCUAGUGACCCA